rnacentral:rRNA from 1 species
CCAAUAGCGUAUAUUAAAGUUGUUGCAGUUAAAAAGCUCGUAGUUGAAUUUCGGGAUCAAAUUGUCGGUCGUGCCUCGGUACGCACUGGUAUUAUUGGUUCCUACCUUCUGAAGAACCGCGAUGUCAUUAAUUUGGUGUCGUGGGGAAUCAGGACUGUUACUUUGAAAAAAUUAGAGUGUUUAAAGCAGGCUUACGCUUGAAUACAUUAGCAUGGAAUAAUGAAAUAGGACGUUUGAUUCUAUUUUGUUGGUUUCUAGGAUUGACGUAAUGAUUAAUAGGGAUAGUUGGGGGCAUUAGUAUUCAAUUGUCAGAGGUGAAAUUCUUGGAUUUAUUGAAGACUAACUACUGCGAAAGCAUUUGCCAAGGAUGUUUUCAUUAAUCAAGAACGAAAGUUAGGGGAUCGAAGACGAUCAGAUACCGUCGUAGUCUUAACCAUAAACUAUGCCGACUAGGGAUCGGAUGAUGUUAAUUUUUUAAUGACUCAUUCGGCGCCUUACA